rnacentral:rRNA from 1 species
GUUGCAGGGUAUAGACCCGAAACCCGGUGAUCUAGCCAUGGGCAGGUUGAAGGUUGGGUAACACUAACUGGAGGACCGAACCGACUAAUGUUGAAAAAUUAGCGGAUGACCUGUGGCUGGGGGUGAAAGGCCAAUCAAACCGGGAGAUAGCUGGUUCUCCCCGAAAGCUAUUUAGGUAGCGCCUCGUGAAUUCAUCUCCGGGGGUAGAGCACUGUUUCGGCUAGGGGGCCAUCCCGGCUUACCAACCCGAUGCAAACUGCGAAUACCGGAGAAUGUUAUCACGGGAGACACACGGCGGGUGCUAACGUCCGUCGUGAAGAGGGAAACAACCCAGACCGCCAGCUAAGGUCCCAAAGUCAUGGUUAAGUGGGAAACGAUGUGGGAAGGCCCAGACAGCCAGGAUGUUGGCUUAGAAGCAGCCAUCAUUUAAAGAAAGCGUAAUAGCUCACUGGUCGAGUCGGCCUGCGCGGAAGAUGUAACGGGGCUAAACCAUGCACCGAAGCUGCGGCAGCGACGCUGAUGCGUUGUUGGGUAGGGGAGCGUUCUGUAAGCCUGCGAAGGUGUGUCGUGAGGCAUGCUGGAGGUAUCAGAAGUGCGAAUGCUGACAUAAGUAACGAUAAAGCGGGUGAAAAGCCCGCUCGCCGGAAGACCAAGGGUUCCUGUCCAACGUUAAUCGGGGCAGGGUGAGUCGACCCCUAAGGCGAGGCCGAAAGGCGUAGUCGAUGGGAAACGGGUUAAUAUUCCCGUACUUGGUGUUACUGCGAAGGGGGGACGGAGAAGGCUAUGUUGGCCGGGCGACGGUUGUCCCGGUUUAAGCGUGUAGGUGUGUGUUCCAGGUAAAUCCGGUUCACUUUAACACUGAGGCGUGAUGACGAGGCACUACGGUGCUGAAGCAACAAAUGCCCUGCUUCCAGGAAAAGCCUCUAAGCAUCAGGUAACAUCAAAUCGUACCCCAAACCGACACAGGUGGUCAGGUAGAGAAUACCAAGGCGCUUGAGAGAACUCGGGUGAAGGAACUAGGCAAAAUGGUGCCGUAACUUCGGGAGAAGGCACGCUGACACGUAGGUGAAGUGAUUUACUCAUGGAGCUGAAGUCAGUCGAAGAUACCAGCUGGCUGCAACUGUUUAUUAAAAACACAGCACUGUGCAAACACGAAAGUGGACGUAUACGGUGUGACGCCUGCCCGGUGCCGGAAGGUUAAUUGAUGGGGUCAGCGCAAGCGAAGCUCCUGAUCGAAGCCCCGGUAAACGGCGGCCGUAACUAUAACGGUCCUAAGGUAGCGAAAUUCCUUGUCGGGUAAGUUCCGACCUGCACGAAUGGCGUAAUGAUGGCCAGGCUGUCUCCACCCGAGACUCAGUGAAAUUGAACUCGCUGUGAAGAUGCAGUGUACCCGCGGCAAGACGGAAAGACCCCGUGAACCUUUACUAUAGCUUGACACUGAACAUUGAGCCUUGAUGUGUAGGAUAGGUGGGAGGCUUUGAAGUGUGGACGCCAGUCUGCAUGGAGCCGGCCUUGAAAUACCACCCUUUAAUGUUUGAUGUUCUAACGUGGACCCGUGAUCCGGGUUGCGGACAGUGUCUGGUGGGUAGUUUGACUGGGGCGGUCUCCUCCUAAAGAGUAACGGAGGAGCACGAAGGUUGGCUAAUCCUGGUCGGACAUCAGGAGGUUAGUGCAAUGGCAUAAGCCAGCUUGACUGCGAGCGUGACGGCGCGAGCAGGUGCGAAAGCAGGUCAUAGUGAUCCGGUGGUUCUGAAUGGAAGGGCCAUCGCUCAACGGAUAAAAGGUACUCCGGGGAUAACAGGCUGAUACCGCCCAAGAGUUCAUAUCGACGGCGGUGUUUGGCACCUCGAUGUCGGCUCAUCACAUCCUGG